AGUGAACGCUGGCGGUAGGCCUAACACAUGCAAGUCGAACGGCAGCACAGUAAGAGCUUGCUCUUACGGGUGGCGAGUGGCGGACGGGUGAGGAAUACAUCGGAAUCUACUUUUUCGUGGGGCCAAAAAAGGGCAAUAUUACCUCAUACCGCCUAAGGCCGAAGGGGGAAAAUAUGGGGACCUCGGGCCUUCAGCUGAUCCAAGGUCGGAUUAGCUAGUUGGUGGGGUAAAGGCCCACCAAGGCGACGAUCCGUAACUGGUCUGAGAGGAUGAUCAGCCACACUGGAACUGAGACACGGUCCAGACUCCUACGGGAGGCAGCAGUGGGGAAUAUUGGACAAUGGGCGCAAGCCUGAUCCAGCCAUACCGCGUGGGUGAAGAAGGCCUUCGGGUUGUAAAGCCCUUUUGUUGGGAAAGAAAAGCAGCAGGUUAAUACCCCGCUGUUCUGACGGUACCCAAAGAAUAAGCACCGGCUAACUUCGUG
rnacentral:rRNA from 1 species